CUUGGGUAAAUAUACCUACAUAGGCAAUCUGAAGUGGUAUUUAGAAUGUAACAACCAACAAAAACUCUUACUUUUCUUACAACUGGUGCAUGCGCAGUUGGCGCACUUACAGGAUCCACCGCAGUUGCAAGAGCCAGCUACAAAUACAAGUUGGGUUAAGAGAUGAUCAAAAUAACAGGUGUUCAUCCAUAACCCUCACAUGUGUGGCCAGUGGCAGGCAGCCUACCGUCUGAGCCAGAGUGCCCAGGACUCAGACAUCUCUUUGCUCAACAUCACCAGGCACUGAGCUGCUCGACAGCUGGUACUCGAGGACCCAACACCACUGAAGACACGCUCCUCGUGGGCACCCAGACAAACCUGCUGGCCUAUGAUGUACACGAAAUUGCUGACAUCUUCAACAGAGAGGUGACAGAUGGGGCCAAUGCCAUAGCUUUAGGGAAAUUGGCAAACACCAUCAUCGGAGGAAACUGUGCCUUACAAGGAUUUGACUGUGAGGGGAACGACCAGCUCUGGACGCUUCUUGUCAGAUCAAAGGACUUUGACAUUAGGGUAUACAGAUGCACAAUUGAGUGCAUCCUGUCGGGCUGUAUCACCGCCUGGUACGGCAACUGCACCGCCCACAACCGCAAAGCUCUCCAGAGGGUGGUGUGGUCUGCCCAGCAUUACCGGGGGAAAACUUCCUG